rnacentral:rRNA from 1 species
GGCCGCGGGAAUUCGAUUCAGGCCUAACACAUGCAAGUCGAACGGCAGCACGGAGCUUGCUCUGGUGGCGAGUGGCGAACGGGUGAGUAAUAUAUCGGAACGUACCCUGGAGUGGGGGAUAACGUAGCGAAAGUUACGCUAAUACCGCAUACGAUCUACGGAUGAAAGUGGGGGAUCGCAAGACCUCAUGCUCGUGGAGCGGCCGAUAUCUGAUUAGCUAGUUGGUAGGGUAAAAGCCUACCAAGGCAUCGAUCAGUAGCUGGUCUGAGAGGACGACCAGCCACACUGGAACUGAGACACGGUCCAGACUCCUACGGGAGGCAGCAGUGGGGAAUUUUGGACAAUGGGCGAA